UAAGUAACUAACCACGAAAUGAUCUAAUAUGUGCAGAGCAUCAUAUUCACUAACAGAAAACCGAUUUCUGUGGGUAAGAAUUGAAAUUCCACAUUUUCACUAUUUUGACUCACCCUAAUCAUCACUGAUGAUCGACGAAAGGGUCCGAUCGAAGACUCAUCACCGCCGCGCAUCGAGAUGCAUGUCACCACAGACUGUCUGCAUGCAGCUCACUGACUAGCUACUCUGCCCAGUCGCAAGACAGGUUGCGCGUGUGAGUUUGUAGCAUUUCGUUUGAACUGGCGGCGGCGGCGGCAGUUUUACGACCACCGCUAAUAAAUUGUACCGCGCAUUGCGAGAGAGACUUUUUUUUCUAGCCAGCAACUUGUAUGAUUGGAAUUGGUGACCGGCUUUUACUUCUAUCGAUUCCUGAUGCCUUUUUGGUCGUCGUCAUCAUUCGACAGGACGGACAGUUGAAUGCUCGAUAGGACAUAAAUGGUGAUUAGUGAAACUGGCCGCGCCACUUGCGCACUCACGCGCUCUAUGUGAAUUGACCCGUAUUACUUAAUGGGGAAUAGUCUUCUGAGGUGCGCUCGUCCACUGGACCAUUGGAAGAUAACACGCGUGCAUUGGAAGAUUUAUACCCCUACCGAUUAGUCGACUCGAGAGCGGUGGUCGUGAGAAUUAUUUCCCUGGUCUCUGGCCGAAGGGGUCCUAUACCUCCUCCCAAUAAGGGCAUCGCGAACGUGUGUGUAGUCCUAAACGUGGACGGACACGGUGUCUGAUGUAACUGAGUCAUACCCACAGCAUCAUAGCAUACUAGGAGCCACCACAGCUCGCGAACAACGUGAAGGUGGGCGCGUGAAGCUUUUCGGUUCACACCUUUGUAGUUACUCUUCUGAGUUGCUGCGUGACCACCGUCGCCGCGUAAAACGACGGGGUCUGCCUUUCGAUGGGGUCUAACCUCACGAUGUGGCCGGGGAGAUCUAUUAUGGUUAUGACGACGACGAGCCACCGCCGCCGACCACUGAAAGGCCCAAAUUAAAUGUUUAUACGCGGGCGGAACACUCUCUUACUCAGCAUAAAUCUCGGAGGCAGAGGGUACCAAACGGUGGUGAGCACAGUCCACUGAAUCAUCCCCGUCAGAUGUUCUAACCGUUCGUAGGUAUUACCUAGAAAAUAGCUCAAAACUCACCAGAAACCGAGGAGGUCUUCUAUUUCUGGCGAGAAUGAUGUCUGCUACGUCAGAUAAUCCGGAUAUUCCGGUGAUGGUUUCAGUAGAGUUUAGAAGGGGCACUCCAAGAACACUAUGGCAUGCUAUCGUUCGACAAUUCAAAAUAGAUACGUUGGAAGAAAAUACAGAAGAAUCUUUAGAGGAAGUUCUGUAAAAAUCUCAGGUUGAUCUUAGUUGAAUCUCUGAUGGAAUUCCAGAAAAAAAAUCUGAUAUAAGUACUGAAGCAAAAUUUGGAGGAAUAACUGAUUCUAGAUUUUUUGCAGGAAUUUCUGUGGAAGAUUUUGCAGAAUCUCUGAAGGAGUUCCGGCAAAUAUUUCCAGAGAAAACCUUGUUGAAGUUCUUAGAGGGAUACCACGGGGAAUUUCUGAAGCAAGCCUAAAUUAGCCUUAGUUAAAAUUCACGAAAAAAAGCGAAUCAAGCCCAAUGAAAAUUUCUUGAAGAAUGUCUGUUUCAAUUCCUGACUGCAUCCCUGAACAAGGAAGCCCUGGAAGAAUAUCUGCAAAAAUCCCUGAAGGAUCCGAAAUAAAAACCUGGAAUAAAUCCUGGAGAUACUUUGGACAAUUCUGGGAAAGCUGUUGUGAUGAAACAUCGGAGGAUAGAAAAAUGUCUGCCUCAAUGGUCGAUUUAAACCCCUUGAACUCACGUUUUUGAGAGCACAAAUCUAGGAAAUCCGAGAAAAAAAUUGUGCCUCCAAAGUUUUUAUGAAAAAUUUGAAUUGGAUGCAUUUUCUCAUUUUUUUUUGUUUUUGUUUUUUUUUCUGUUUAUUAAAUUAUGUUAAAUGUCUUCGAAAAACAGGAAGGAUCAAAGCAUCUGCUGAAUGUUUUUCCUGAUGGAAAAUGUUUUUCGUUUUACAAAAAUCUAUUCUGAACUAAGUUAAAAAAAAAUGAUUUUCGGAAAACCAUAGGCGUCCAGUUUUGCCUUAAGAAAAAAAAAAUGCUGUAAUAAUUUGUGGAUUAUUAUUAAAAUUACUAUAUUAUAGAGAUUUUCAGCCCUAGGCUGAUUCAUCUCUUGAGACAAUUUCUGGAGCAAACAUUGAAGGAAUUUCUAAAAAAAAAAUAUUUGCAGCAAUUUCAGAAAUAACUUCUGCAGAAAUCAUUGGCGGUUUUUCUGUUGGAAUCCUCAAGAGAGAUCUCUUUAAAAUAUUCUGGAAGAUUCACUGAAAUCGAGAAUCUCUGGACAAAUUCUUGCAAAAAAUGUAGGAAUUUCUGCAAGAAUCACUGAAGAAUUUCUAUAACAAUUCUUGAAUUCUUGAAUCGAUCCCUGAAGAAGGCGCCUGAAGAUAAAAACUCUUGAAACGUUUUCAAAAUUAUUAUUAUUAUUACUUUAUUAUAGAGAUAUUCAGCUUGUUCAUCUCUUGAGACCAUUUCUUAAGCAAUCAUUGGAGGAAUUUCUAAAAAAAAAAUACAGCAAUUUCAGAAAUAAUUUCUGGUGACAUCGAUGACGGGUAUUCUGUUGGAAUCCUCAGGAGAGAUUUCUUUAAAAUAUUCUGGAAGUUUCAUUGAAAUCGAGAAUCUAUGGACAAAUUCAUGCAGAAUAAUUUAGGAAUUUCUGCAAGAAUCUCUGAAGAAUUUAUAUAAGAAUUCUUGGAUUCUUGAAUCAAUCCCUGAAGAAGUUUCUAAAAUAAUUCCUGGAAGAGAUUCUGUAGGUUUACUAACGUAAUUAUUUGUAUUUUUUAAGAGGAAAUCUUUCCAAGAAAAACUUUGAAGAACUGUUAGGGUAAGUAAAGUAGGCCUGGAUGAUUGUUUGGAAAAAUCUCCGAGGCAAUUAAAAAAUAGAUAAAAAUAAAUAUUUAAAAUGAUGCAAAGCACUGAAAAAGGUUCAAAAGUGACCCUGAUCUAUGAUUCUUAAAAAAAAAACUAACUCAGCGCCACUUUUCGUUUUCUUGACUUCAUACGAAGGAUAUGUGCUUCUAGGAAGCCUUUGCACCACUCCUGGCGACACGCCUUUUUUGGACAAGGGUGUAACCAGAAUCGAAGCUGGAAUGGGAAACUUCUAGAAUACUGUGUAAUGCUAUCGUUCGAUAGUUCAAAAUGCAAUGCGAUCAACGAUCAACGAUCAAUUCUGACUAUACAUGUCAAUGGUUGCUCCUCUGUGAUUGAUCUGAACUGGUACCAGUUGCACUGAGAUCCAACUGAAUAAGGGGCUGGGACAUUCCACUUAUUCUCAAAGUGCAAUUUUAGCAGCUCAUGCAUAUUUGAUCAAUAACGGCGCCGGCCAAGUCCUUAUAGUCAGCUGGGAAGGGAAAGGAAUGUUAGAGUGUACUGGUUGUUGCUACUAGAGACCGAGAGCACUCUGCGUCCCCACAACGCAGCACGGACUGGGGUAUUUGUUAGACGGAAAGGAUGGGAGAUCUGGGAGUCACCGUUGGGUCGGUGAUGCGAUCCAUGGAUAGGGUUAUUUAUAGUAUUCGUGAUAGAUUGUGUGGUGAAUAAGGUGAAUAAGGUCAAGCGGCACAGCACGCUUUGGUUGCAUAACUUAUAGGCGUUAUAUACACUGUGCUGUGAGUGGAAGUUGGAAGGGAGGGAAACGACUUUUUUUCAAUUCGUUUCUGGUUCUAGCGAUGGCUAUGAACAUAUGAAUAUACAUGAGUUGUAUAUGUAGAGAAGAGAGAGCGAGAGAAAGUGGAUAGAAAGAUACAAA